rnacentral:rRNA from 1 species
UACAGAGGUCUCAAGCGUUGUUCGGAUUCAUUGGGCGUAAAGGGUGCGUAGGCGGCGCGGUAAGUCGGGUGUGAAAUCUCGGGGCUUAACUCCGAAACUGCAUUCGAUACUGCCGUGCUUGAGGACUGGAGAGGAGACUGGAAUUUACGGUGUAGCGGUGAAAUGCGUAGAUAUCUGGAGGAACACCGGUGGCGAAGGCGGCAUCCUGGACCGGCAUUGACGCUGAGGCGCGAAAGCUAGGGGAGCAAACGGG